UUAACCAGUUCCGGGACCGACCCGGACACACCUAGGGCGGGCGCUGUGCCCCCCAGAUCGUGCCUCUCAGACUCGAUUCUGAUCAGAUGUGCCCCCUGAUUUCUUCACCCACAUCAAGCCAACCGUGCUGGUUGCACUGAAUUCCCAGUUGCCCAGUUUCCAGGGGUCAUCUGAACCGCUCGGCGCGCUCCGCGGUCGGUACACUGGGGGUUGGAUGCCAACUCGGGAAUUACGCGCACUGUACUCCGGAAUGGAAGGCCUGCCGGCGGGUUCCUCGUCAGUAAAAUGGAAAUUCGUCAGAGAAUGAGAUGCAAACGCAAAUGGAAUGCUUAAGACUGAGCCCUCACAGUGGAAACAUUUACAUUGUUAUCUAAUGUUAGUACCUUAAAGAAGCAGUGGUUUAUCUAAAUCUAACAAUAGGUGAAAAAUUAAAUAAAACUCCUUCAGCCUA